GCCUGAGGCCCAGCGUUUCUACCUCAGGCCUAGUCAGUGUUUCACCAAUCUUCGUUCAUCUGUCGCAUUGUCACAGUUUGAGUAUGAACUCCCUUUACAGGCUCAUGUGCCAGAGUUCUUGGCGCCCAACUGGUGAGACCAUUCUGGGAGGUUUGGGAAACUUCAGUACAUGCGGCUUAGUUAGAAGAAGUACGUCACAGGGUGUUCCGUCCCAAUGAGCAAGCUUCAAGAGACGGGGCCCUCGUUACCUGAACGGUUAGACUCCACUGGAAGUUCCAGCCGCCAGUUCCUGCAUCUUGCUGCUUCUCCAAGGAAGCUGCAGAUCAUCACCACAUGUUGGAGGGUGCUUGUCUGGAGCUCAUGACCUCCACCAUGAACACACAUCUCCUUCCCCUAACCCCACAUCUGCGGUAACUCUGAAGCUUGUCUUUUGUGAAACUUUCCAGACUUACCCCUUCAGGGUUCUUAGUUAUGAAAUUUAGUUUAGUUGAGUGGCAAUAGUUUCAUAAAGCCGUUUCUACCCUGGU